GGGGGCUUGGUGUAAUAGGUAGACACAGAGUACUUGGGAUCCUCCGGUGUUUUAACACCGUACGGGUUCGAAUCCCGUAGCCCCCA
rnacentral:tRNA from 1 species